GGAUUCAUAGAUAUUUGACUACGUAGUUAGAUGGCGCAGGAUGACCAUAUUAUCUCGUUAUUGCAAUGUUAUCGACUGAGUUCUUUUUCUCUCGGCAUCGGGAGAUAACUCAACGUAACGAAACCUUUAUUCGACGCUGCAGGUUUCCAGUAUUUUCGUCGUCGUGUCAGGUUGGGAAACAUAUGAACGGAAAUAUCAGUGGCAUGGAUAAUAGAUAACCUCAAUUCUGAAAACUUAAAAACGUCGUGAUAUCAGUGUGUAAAUAUGUUUGGUGUACGUCGUUUCGCUAAUACAGCCUUGCCUGCCAUUGUCGUUCGAAGGGACGGUGUGCGAUUCAUAAGCUUUCUGAAAAUGAAAGAAACAUUCCAGCGAUUACUGGGCACGAAUUCCGACGAGUUGCCGUAUACGCACGUCUGUCAAAUUGGCGAUCCUGUCUUGCGCGGUCGCGCUAUGAGAAUAGAAUCAGAAGUCAUAAAAAUGGCGGACUUUCAAAAGGUAAUCAUGCGUUUGAUAAACGUUAUGCGGGAACAUGAAGCAUUCGGUCUAUCUGGGCCUCAAAUUGGACUACCCUGGCAAAUAUUCGCCAUCGAAUGCACGAAGGAAGCUGUAGGAAAGGUUGAGGAGUCCCUGAAGAAGGCUCGUGAAAUGGAUGUUGUUCCAAUGACGAUUUUUAUUAACCCUGAAUUAAAAGUUAUAGACUAUACACCUAUUACCCUUUUCGAGGGAUGCGCAAGCAUUCUCGGAUAUGAAGCUGCUGUUCCUAGAGCCUAUGAAGUGGAAAUUACAGCAUUGAAUGCUUCUGCUGAACAGUUCACAUGGAGAGCACGUGGAUGGGCUGCUCGAAUAGCACAACAUGAAUACGAUCAUUUACAAGUGAGGGACCGUGGAAUCGACUAUCUGGAAGACCCCGAAUGCCAGAAGGAAAUUGGUGGGUAACAUAUUUCAUCCCUAUCGGUGCCGAUUCUUCCGGUAAAAGGAAUUAGAAGAAUUACUCCCUCGCCGUUGCGGUUCCGGGAAAGGACGGGAAGGAUUGAGGGACUCGGUCUUAUACAAUUCGGCCAGGACGACUAGGUCAUCUAUUUGCCGAUUUCUUAUCCGGAAAGAGAAUGAUGCUGUUGCUGCCGCCGCUGGUGUAUCCUGAUUACGAGAUGUCGUUCCAAAUGUGCAUGACUUCUUCGAUACGCAUCCCCUAGGAUUAGAAGAGAUUAAGCCAGUCCUGCAAGAAAGGUAAUCGUGAGUGUUUGAGAAGAUUAAGCCACUCCGUCAAGGGCGGUAAUCACGACCCUCGCUUUUAAGGUUUAUCUCACGCCGCUGGUGUUGCCGCCGGAGUAAGUUUUGCAUGGGGUGAAAUCGCGGAGAUACAUGCGAGACAUCCACGCGGUGUCAUUGCUCCAUCCUCGAUCGAUUGCCUUCCACUGCGUUUACGAGCGCGACGCCGGCGUCGUGCUAUAUUUUUAUCGUGCUGAUACAGCAAAUAGAAGUUUAUCGGAAAAUUAAUUUAUGGAUUGAAAAUGUUAGAUAACAACUCGUUUGCUGCCCGUUAACAACUAUUUAUAUCUUUGUGAAUAUUCCUUGCGCUAUUAUUUACAAUUAAUUGCAAUCGUACAAUUAACAGAUAAAGGCAAAUUUAUAACAUUGUUUUAUUUGCGCGACAGUUUAUCGCAAAUAUAAUAUAAAGCUUAUGGGGUGUCGCACAUUUUGCGACUAUAUAUUUAAUUAGCUUAAUCUUGUUUCCGUUUAUCUCUGGAUUUUUUUUUAGAAAUUGCAGAACAAAUUAUAACACUUCUUCUUUAUCUUAGAUAAUCUUCAGCCAUCGUUAUUUUUCCCCCGAACUUUCUAAAAUGCACGACAGAUUGAUUUGCCUGUUCGUAAAGCUUUGAUCGACCGUCCGGUAUUGUUUGAGGGGUGAAAAGCGUGGACGAAGUCACGGAGGGUGAGCUGCGAAAAAUGAGAAGGAGGAUACUGUACGUGACAUGCGUGGCGACAAGAUGUACACGUGUGCAUUAACCUCGCUUACACACACACGUACACCCACGCGCACAAGUACACAAGCGAAAGAAGAAUUCGAAAAGUUACCGAUGCGUGUUUUUACAACUUACAAACUUACAAAAACGGACUUACGGAACAACUUACAAAAAAAAAAACGUAAUUUUCCACCACGUGUCGUUGUACAACUGAAUCGCUCUAUGAUUGAUUAAUCUGCAGAUUGUCGCACAAACUUUCCUCUCUUGGAAUUGUACUUUUCGAGAGAUAUGAAGGAUAGCAUCGGGUCACAUGGGCCGUAAUAACGCCCGAAACCAUAUUUCUCAGAAGUUAACAAAGUGUAUAAACUUAUAUAACGUCGUGACAGCUUAUGUCCAUUAUUAUAAAAAAGGUCGAGAGAAAGAGAGGAUAGAGAGAGAGAGAGAGAGAAUUUUAUUUAUAUCGAUGUGUGAAGCGAUGUAUUGGUUGCUAGGAAAAGAAUUUUAAUAGCACACACCUCACAAGGAGGUUUCCUCUUUUGUGAUUUUAAGCGAGACUCCAUCACGUGGAAUUUCGCCGGUGGAAGAAAUUGCGUUACGAUAAGCUGGCCUCGCCUGAUAGGAAUAAACGGAAUUUUCCGGCUCUAUAGAUGCAAUAAAAUCUGUCCGGAGCUACGUUGUAAAUUGCGGGGACAUGAUCGUGCGAGAAAGUCAGGGAAUAGCGGAGAUAACGCGAGCGUGCUGAUCGAUAAGAACCCCGGUAAGGCCGCUUCGGAUUUUCUCGUGAGUCGCGCACACCGGUGAAGAUCGUGGGGUGCGCCUCGAGGAACCAUUAGAAUCGAAGCAUCUCGCGCGUUCUUUCCACCCCGGGGUACACAAUGGCGUUUAUUGCACCCUGAAUUUUAUUGGAGAUUUCGGCACGAGCGAAACGGAAAGUUGGCGAAAUUAGAAAGGACGGAUUUACCAACGCACAGCUCCGCGUACAGGACCCGGCGCGUCUAUUUUCAGCUCUCAACCCCCUCCCUCUCUUUCUCUCGUAAUCAUAUUCCGCGAUAAAGCGCGCGGAACUAUUCAUCGCUUUUCCGCGAAGCGCGAAUCAACAACCCCCGCACUUUCGUUACGUUACGCACCGGUGCGGAAAUUUUUCAACACACUACACAUUUUUCGCUCAUCCGUCGUCCCCUUUGUCACGUGCAGCCUUUAUUGCGGGACGAGGACGCGACGACGCGUCUGAUAACCCAACUGUAAUUGUAUUUUCGAACUUGUAAGGGACGCCGAGUGAGAAAACUGGCGCGUCGCAGUUUCUUUUUUCCGUCACAGUUCGUCGAGCAUUCCACGACCUGUGGCAUCGUCGCGAAUGUCUCGCCCACUUGGUCUCUUGUUUCGAGCUGCGUAUUAAAGAAUCGAAUUUAAACCAAUUCCACGAACAUUUUGUUAUUUCUAACUUUCAUAUGAUCAAAAUUUAUUAUUUUACCACAAAAUAUUUUUGUGGUUGAAUUGCUUAGUUUUAAAGUGGCAGCGACGUAUGCGCUUGGUAAACAAUAAAUUUUUGGCUCAAAUUUAACAUUUUUACAAUUAAAUUCAACUUAAGGUUUUGGGUAUAAUUUGACAUUGAAAAUUUAUUAGUGCAAGGAUGAAGAAGGUAACGAAAGGACGUAAAUUAAAAUCAUUCGGAGGAAUUGCUUCAUUGCGUUUCUCAUUGCGUGUUUCUUUCUUCCUUCGUCGUAACCUUGUCCUUCCAUCUUCAUUCCGACAGAGAAUGUAAAUCCCCGCAUUAAUACGACAGAAAAUUAUCAUCUUCUUUAUACCGAGUCCGUGUGUUAUCCGCGCAGUGUAAUCCUCCUCCAGUUUAUGCCGCAGGAAAUGUAUAUUAAUAGAAGAUGUUGAAUUUUUACGAAAUAUACUCUGCGGCUUUCCGCGGCAGGCGACUUUCGAAAGGGCAGGGGCGAUCGUCACGUAAUCCCUUGACUGCUAAUGCAUUGCGGUAGGGGCUGCAGCAAGUGCCGGCAGUGCGCCUCGUACCGGCCAGCUCGUUUGGUAAAUCAAUGAUGCUCCUUUUCGCACUCGUUCUUUUUCAGUGUCAAGGUAACACCACCCGCGCCCCACGUAUACCCGCGAGGAAUUCUCCCUCCUUUGGCUCAAUUUCUCACCGUGAGAUUUAUGAACGGGCCAUACCGAAAUUUACACUUCUCCGAUCCUCGCUUCCCGCGUUUACUUAUAGAUACGAAAAACUCGUCGAGCCGAAUGCUGGCGGAGUUUCCUCUCGAGCUCGCGCGCGAAAUCUUUAAUCGCCUCAAGUCUUAAACCUAAAUAAGUGAUAAUAUAUACUGAUUUACCGUGAAACAAAUUUAAUGAACGUACAAGUGGAACAUUAUAAAUAAACGAGGAAACUCCUCCAAGGCUUUUUUCUUCCUCUUUAAUAUUUAAUAUCAUCUUCUAAAACAUUGCAAAUUUUUUCCCCUCUCAAAAUAGCGCAUGAAUUUUUCAUACAGGCUGUGUAAUAGAGUCCAAUAAACAACUCUCUCUCUCUCUCUCUCUCUCUCUCUCUCUCUCUCUCUCUCUCUCUCUCUCUCUCUCGCACGCUCCCGAAGUUGCAGAUGCGUUUAUUUUAAUUUGUUACAUUGAUCCGUAUAUUGCUCCAUUGAUCCGACCCUCACGUGCCUUCCCACCGCCAAAUUCGGUUUGGCAGGAAGCUAUCAAAGGUGUAUUGAGUCCGCAGGAUGAAUAAUUUAUAACGUAUAAUAUAAUGUCGCUUGUUUAAUAUUCCACGGAGCUAUCCGCCACGCUUGUUUUAACGGCUCUAUCCGAUAGACAUGCGUAUUCCGCUUUAUCCCCAAAGGAUUAGCAGGUUUGCAGUCUGACCCUGUUAUUACGUUUUCACUUAGGUCCGCCCGACUCUUACUUAUGCAUGAAAGGGACUCCGGGAGGGCUAAUGAUGUCAACGCGAGGGAAAAAAAAUUUUCUCCGUCGCCGACAGUUUCAUCUCCUCCGCGAGUAACGAAAACCUCGUACGCGAGAGACGGAUCUCUCGGCUGGGCGAUAACAAUAAAGCUCAACUUGUGCUGAGAAAGCCUCGUUAGAAUUGUGCUAUAGGCCACCGGGUGCGGGACGCUCGUGCCUGAAUUUUUCACAAGGAUAUGCCACAUGUGAAGCCUUCCUUACUUCCAUAUGUACAUAUAAUAAAGUCGUAGUCGUUAUUUCCGAGCGGAGCGGUCAUCACGCUUCAUGAUAAUUGAAUCGCGGUCCACGGGAACUCCGAGGACGGAAGGAGAGGAAAAAGAAAUGUAUCUGGAGGUCCUCGGAUCCUGUAAUUGCGUGCAUUCGGAAAAAAAAACCGCGAAAAAAUUAUGUGUCCGUUCGUACACAAGUGACAGUUACUGUACAAGGAGCACACAGAUAUAAUCGCGCUAUCGAUUCGAGGUCCGAACGCGGCUGGUACGGCCUAGAACAGAAAUAACUGAAAACACACCCUUAUCGCGAGAGUCGCCCGCUACUGCGAUCUAAGCCUAAAGAAACAUUGUGCCCUGAAUUACGUUAAGCUGAUUGCUUCCUCUCGCCAUUUGGGACAUCGUCGUUUAUAAUCGCGGGGCGACGAUGCUAUCGCCGCAAGGGUGCUCGCUACUUAUGUGUUAUAAAUAGCGGCGGGAGCGACUUGUGUGUAUAUUCAGAGCGUGCCGUUUCCUAUUUUUAAAAGAUGUAAUAUACAUCACGUGUAACGCGCGCGUUAACAUGUGAAAGACGAAAGAAAAAAAAAAAAGACCGUUGUUGCUUGCCGAUGGCGAGUGGAGGAGCAGCCGCCGCCGCCGCCGCACUGGGAAACAGGGUUGAGAACCGCGGUCUUAAAACAGCACUGCGUGCCAGAUCGAUAACACGGCGGCUACCCUUAAGCUCUGAAAUGUGGACCGAAGUGGACGCAAAAUUUCGAGCUUCUAUCGAAGCGUUUUCCCUUUGCCGAGUCAUGUACAAUUCGUCUGGCGGAUGAUAGACAUAAAAUUGACAUAUCGCUUCGUACGAGUCAGUCUGGCUCGUUCGGCAGUUCGGGCACGAUCGCCAAACUGAGCCAUCAUCGUCGAAGGUUCCGCUCCUCGGAAUCCCCAUCGAAAUGUCAUCGCGAUUGCGAUCGGUGCCUCUGAAUAACGCGUGUGAACGGCGCGAGCCUCGACCUCCACGUAACGCCUUCGCGGUUACUUCAAUUUCCGCCGCGCGAGCGUAGCGCAAUCGACUUAUCUAAUACGCGAAUGCAUAAUUUAAACGCGUGUACAGCGUCAAUUGACGCGACGUAACGAAAUAUACCGGUCUCGUAACUUUGUUACUCGCCAGGUCUGACCUGGUUGUCAAGACCCGCCGUGCGUUUCCUCGACCGCGCGAUUUCGAGUGGCGAUCGCCUUGGUGCAUGCGAGGUCCUACGUUGGACUUAUUAUUGACCGAGGCCUGUCGUUAAUCGGGGCAAAAGGUCCGAUGGGGUCCGGGAAAGUUAACUGAUGAACACGUGAGCCGAUAACGCGCGCGCGCCGCUGCCGUCGUGCCGCUAUUCGGAGCGGGCGCCGAUGCCCGGAGCGUGCUGAUUUCAAUUUAAUUAACGCCGUCGGAUAAAUUAUCGUCGCGCAUUAACCUCGAGUGUCUUGCAGUGUGCGGUUUUAAAUAUGUGCCACGCUCGUACAAACGAGCUCGCGUGGCCUCGCGUAUGCACUUGCAUGCAUGCAUCGCCAGACUUGGAGCCGCACGGUGAAGUGAAAAAUCGUACGAGGUAACUGCAAAGGAAAAUUGGAUGUACGAACAUUUUUAUUUUAACGUUCAAUUUUGGCGAUACACGUUUUAAAAGUGUAUAAAAUAAGAUCAAACGAAAUAAUUAUAAUAAGUAUAAAAAUUAACGAGGGUUGUACGUUUUGAAAAAGUGUAAUAGACUUUGUCUGUCGGCUCGCAUUUCCCACAUUUUCGGCGAUCUCGAGUGGCAGCACUGCCCGAAGCGCCUUUAGCCCAAAGGAAUGUUUUCGCUAGAUUUCCAGACUGUAGACUAUGUCCCAGCGGGUGGACAGUGUAUGUAUGUGUGUGUGUGUGUGUGUGUGGUGAGUGGGCGUGCGAGGGUGGAAUUCCUCGCGGGAAACGCGUCAACGUCUCAUUUGUCUCGUCACAUGGAGGACGCUCGCGACGCUUAUACGAUCCCUCCCGGUUUCCCCUCUGUCCGGCAGUUCCACGAGACGCAACCCCUCGAACAGAAGUGGUCCGUAUUCAUAAGGGAUAAGGGAAAAGAAAGGUGUAUGCUCUUAGGCAGAGGCGACGCGAACACGUAGUACAUCCGAGAGAAUACGCGUGUGUCAGCAGAGAAAAUCGUCGGAGAAAGAUUUUCCAAGUUUUCAUAUAGAGGGAAAUCGCGUGCGAGUACCACGAGAGAGAGUGGUCGGAAGUCUCAAUUCAUCUCGAACGGCUACCACUCUUGUACCCUAUAAUGAUAUUCGUAUUACCUAAGCACUCGAAGUCGUCAUGUAUUAUUUAUGGAUUUACCGUGGACAAAGGCACCGUUGCUCGCGUCCAAUUGUGCGUGCUAAGCGCAUGCAAAAGCGGGGAAAAUCUUGGGAAUGUUAGAAUCUAGCUUCAGAACUUAGAAGAGGACGGGCGAAGCGCGGCGUAAUAACGCGCGCGCGCGAGCCAGGCGGAUGUAAACUCCCGGAGGCUGCAACCCCCCGAGAUUUUAAGCCGGUGAUAUUAAUAUUGGAGAAGCCGGAGGCGGGCAGUAGCUCGUAGCCGAGCGUGUGCGGGCGCCGCCGUCGUAGGUGAAAUCGCGCGUACUGGUUGGUUUCGGGCAGGCACCUGCAGGCAGUUUGUUAAAAGCGCACCACGGCUUAAUAUCGAUUAAGGGCCACAAAGGACUCCCGGUUUGCCGGCGCGCGCCCGUUUACUACCGAUACAGAGAUUACACGAAGUUUCGGCCCGAUGGAGCCGAUGCCACCCACAGCCCGGCGAUACGUACGGCGAUAUGGUUUGCGAAACUAUUAAAUCGCGUCACCCUGAAAUAUUAACAAACUUUAUAAUUAUCGUCAAAGGGCGGCGGUCUGCGGGGAAAUUUGAAUUCGGCGGCGCAUUAGUAAUAAAUCAGUCGGGGAUAAAUUAUUUGCCAAGUGUAAACGACGAUGAUGAUUUAUAUCGGACGGUAUUGCAAAUUGACAUGAUACGAUUGAGAGAGAGAGAG